AUUCUGAACAGCAGUGGCACAAACCUCGUACUCAGGGCUUCAAACCUGGUCCGACCAAUCAGAUGGUGAUAGUAUCAGCAAGACCCAAAGAAAGAAGACUGGCUGAAGGAAUCCGGAGUAAUUUAUACAAAGCAGCCU